GUCGUAAUAGCUUAGUUGGUAGAGCGUCGGAGUUUUGAUCGUAGUGUCCCAUGUUUAAUACAGCCCUGGUCGGCU